UCUCAGGCUUGUGUAUGAGUUUUUGAUAUCAUUCUGCACUUUAUCAGAUCAGAUGCUAAUCAAAUUCUAGCCCCAAGUUUAGGCUUAAUUUUUUUUUUUUAAUCUCAAGGUGUUCUUGAUUCAAUCAGGCACACCCUUGAUUCCCCUGUCCUGGAGCUCUGCCCCUAGUUUUUGGUAAAGAGAUCCUGGGGAAACUCCCCCUGAGAACUGGGUCCUCAUUUCAAACCCAGCCUGGGAUUCCUGGUUUUACUCUGGACACUGGAGGAUCAGUCCACUUCAGCACAGAUUGCUCUUGACUGGCACUCCAGACUUCUCCACAGGAAGGAAAAUUCUGGAAAGAAGUCAACAUGUAAAAGAGCUAACUCCUAAAGCAUGUGCCUGCUUCCAGCUUACUAUACUGGAGACUUUGGGAAAUUUCCUCUUAGUUACAUAUAGAAAUAAUUUUUGA
rnacentral:lncRNA from 1 species